AGAAAACACGUGAAGAAACAAGAAUAUGUUGUUCUGAAGAAUUAGGCUUUUACUUUUAUUUCUCCUUAUACAGAAAUUCUCCUAAAUGUCAUCUAAGAUUUUAUUGGCUGUAUGCACAGGGCUGUAGCAUGGGUCUCCCGAGGUGUGGAGGUUGAGUAUGUAGUGGACAACAUGAUGAUUUGAUAGUUGUCCUGGGCAAGUCUAGGCAUUUAGCCCACUCAGACCAGUCAGCACCUGUACACGGCUCUACUUACCUUACUGUGCCGGUGUUGACACAAAACACAAGGAAAUCACUCUGCAGACCACCAUUUUCACUACAAGGUGUUUCCCCGCCACCCCAUAUUAAACGGUUCCAUAUGCUGUUUUGAACUCUUGAGUCAAUUUUUGAACUAGCUUUUGUCGUUUUCUUUUUCAUAGCCUGUUAGUAGAAACCUUCCUUUCUCCUUUGUGUAUUGCUUAGGCUUGAAACCUAAUGAUCAGUGAAACCUAAUGAAAUCCAACCUAGCUUAGAAAACCAAUGAUCGAAUGAAAGUAAGAAUACUUAGUAAAGUAAAGCCACUCAGUCAACGAAUGGCAGUGUGCAGUAUUCUCUCAGGAGUGCUCACAAGCCUGUGGUGUCGCCUUGGGCAAUUACUUCAAAACUUGUUUCUGCUUGUAUUGUUUCUUCCCAGCUCUUGAUGGUGAAAUAAACAAUGGAAUAAAAGCUCUUGACAAUCAGAGUGUGGAGUUUGGCCAACAUCUCUCACACCAUUAUUAACUGCCCAAAGUAAGCGCCCACUUUGGAGAAAAAGUCCUUUCCCAAAGUCUUUCACCUACCCUGCCUAGAAACCAAAGCUGUUGAAAUGAUCUAGGGUGAUAUUCUGACAUUUAAUUUAUGCAUCAGUUAUACCAGUCUGCAACAGGCUUGACACUAUACUGGUAUAUGAAAUGGAUGUGGCUUGCUGACGACUGCUCUCCAAGUAGAAGUAAAUGGGUAGAAGAUGGCUUAGAAGCUUUGAAUCCACAAUUAUAAAUGUGUCUGCUUUUCAACUCCUUCUGAUGGAUUUGCUCUGACACCUGUUUUAGUAUGAUUGAAAAGUAGGAAAAAAAAUAAAGGAAAAGAGAGGAAGAAAGAUACUGCUCAGGUUAGUAAAUGCUGAGCGUUCUGCCUAAUGCUGAUAAAGUUCAAGUCUGAGUCAUCUUAACGAUUGCUGUUUUCAAUAGCAACUUCUGGAUUCACCCACAAGACUUUUCUUGGGCUGUAGAAAGGACAGCAGAUGUUGCUGGCAGGUUGUUUUCUGGAACCAUUGCCCUAUCUGUGUCUCUGUAGUCUGCUGUAGCACAAUGUCCUUGGGAUAAGUACAGCGAGGGGUCAAAAAGCCAAGACUGGCAGUGGGAGGAGGGUGGUAGGUGGGGAGCGGUGCCUGGUUGAGUCAACAGGCAUCAGGGAAGGAGGAGGAAGCUGAGCAUGUGGGCUGAGGAGGUGGCCGCUGGGGAGGAAAGUAAAGGGUCCUGGAAAGUGUAGACCCUCUGCUCACAGAAAAUCAAGAUUGGAUUGGAAAGUGGAAAGGUUCAAUAUUGACAACGCAAGUUGGAAUGGAAUCAUAGGGAGCCAUUGCAGCCAUUUCUAGCCAGUGGAUAGAAGAUCUCUUUCCCUGUCUUUCCUUUUCUCUAUUUCUAUAAGUAUGUCUUUCAAAUAGAGAGAAAUACCUAUUUUUUCAAAAGACCCUGAGGUAUGGAGACUGUCUGGUAGCCCUUCUGGUCAAUUCUUUCUGUACCAUUUGGGUCCAGCUUAGACUGCUAUUGUCCAGGAGAGACAGCCUACUGGGACACACUGCAAUUAUUAAACAUCUGUGGCUUUUGUGACAAUAAAAAUAUAUUUGCGGCAAGUAGAACUCAGAGAACUGCAUUCUUAUUACUUUAUUUUAUUUAUUUUCCUUAAAGCUUCAUGAAUGACUAUUAAUAUUCUCAGAAGACAGCAUGACCAGUUAGAGAAACGUGACCAUCUAGAAGAUGACCCAACAAAUCAAUAAUGGCUAAGACUAUGAAAUAGCCCAACCAGGCCAUAUUUCCUCCUAUUCACAAUUUCUUGUUCUUUGGAUUGUGCUAUAAAAUACAUGGUGAUGUUUAUGAUAUAAAACAUACAUUCAUAAGAUACAUAUUCCUAAAUGGUUUUGGUAAUCUUAACAGAACUUAUAGUUAAGUGCUUUAACUUGCAGGGAAACCAUAUGGAGUAAAUAUUAUUAAAAUCUGAAAACUAAGGCUCUGAUGGGCUGCAAAGUCUACCUAAAGUAUCUCAGUCAGAAAGCAGUAGCAGCAGAAGUUGUGCUGCUGUGGAUUAAGUUGCCACUUGGGUUCCCAUAUUCCAUAUCACAGUGCUUAGGAUUGAGUCCUGCCCCUGUCUUCAAUCCAGCUUCCUACUAAUGUGCCUAGGAGGUCGAGAAUGAUGACUGGACUGCUUUGUAUUAUUGCUACCCAUGUAGGAUAUGUGGAUGACGGUCCAGGUUCCUGGCUUCAGUCUGGUCUAUCCAUCGCUAUUGUGGACAUUUUGGGAAAGUGAACCAAUGGUUGGAAAAUAUCUCUGUCCUCUCUCCUUCUCUCAUUUUACAACAUGAUAAAUAUUACAUGAGACAUACAUAUUCUAAAAAUAUACUUGUUGUUUAUCUGAAAGUCCAAGUUAACUAGUCUUAUAUAUUUUGGCUAAAUCUGUCAAGUCCAUGAUUAUAGGUAAAUAAAUAGUCUAGAUGCCAUCCUGGCCAUUCUGAUGAUUAUGUGUGCUAAUGUGUUACAUGCAGUACGGUAAGAACAAACAGAACAUGGUAUCUGAAAUAUGUUUAGCUUCUCAGAUAAAAUUUUUAAUGUGUAAAUAUGCAUAGUAUAUUAUUCAAAUAUAAAUAAACAUCAUAAACGAUCUGCACCAGAAAAUAAAUAGACAAUUUCAUGGAAAUAGAUUUAUGCAUCUAUUUGCAAUUGGUCAGACACCACUAGAGAAGGAUUUGAUUCAUUCACUGAUCAAGUAUUCAUUGAAUGCUUCUUCUGUUUAAGGUAUCAUGUUGGGUAAGUUGAAAAUGUUUAUGCAUGUGUGUGUGUGUCCUUGUUUAUCUGACUAUUUCUGCUCUUUCUGCUCUCACUGAGUUUAAUCCUCUUUGGAAAGUGCAACAAUGCCCACAUAAUAGCAGAAGCCCACACUGCUAUAAUCCAUCAGUACCUUUGCCAAGUACCCAUGAAGACUGGAAGACUCAACUGACUGUUCUUAUUCAAGAGAUUGUAAUGAAUCUGCCACAAAAUGAAGCCUAUAUUUAUAAUGGAUUUAUUUUUCAAAAAACACAAGUUCAUAUGAAUAUACUUUUAGAGAAUGAUCAAAGUCUUAAAAGGCAAAUGACCUUGUCAAGCUGUUCCCUCCAAUGGGUCUGGAAUGUAAGGUAAGAGUUUGUUUUAAAUGAGAUACUUGAGUGAGAGAUGUGUGUGUGUGCAUAUGUAUAAAUUGUUUCCAGAUGUAGCCACAUGUCAAUGCAAAAAUAUCCAUAGUUCUCAUGAAGUAGUCUGUAGACUAUACUUUAGACUAUAGACUAUACCUUAGAUACAAUUCAUAUUUGUAAAAUAACUUGCCAAUUUAAAAAUUCACUUUUACUGUAGAUUUUUCAACUAUGCUGUCUAGGCAUGCAAACUUCUUGCUGCUUUUCACAUGAAGACAUCUAUUUAUUUGGGAGGAUCCCAGAAUUCUCUUGUAACUCCAUCAGAGAAGUAGAUUUAUGUAUCACAGAGAUAAUUUCUAGUAGUGCCCUGAAAAUUUUAUGCUGUGCAUUUAAACCUCAGCUCAAUAUGCAAUAGCGUGUGAAUUUUACAUUUGCUAGGUCUACUGGAAGAGAUGCACAGAGAAUGAGAGUAGAUAUGCUGAUGCAUCCAAGACCAGAAAAGUCAACUGUGGGAAAAUAGACAUUUCACAGAUAGUUUCUUUUUCAUCCCUACUCUAAUUUGAUGGCUUAUAAGAUAAUCCUUCGGAUGAGGAAAGGAUAUAAACUAUGGCAGUACAUUAUACACCGUAAGUUGUCACACAUGUAAAGGCAUUAUCAUCUGAAUAAUUCAGCUACUAAUGACAAUAUCCCUGAUCUAUGAAAGUUUUCUCUUGAUUGAUCUCAUAUUAUUAGUGCACUCACAUUUACCUCAAGUAAACACAGUGAUUUACCACUAAUUUUCUUCCUAAACUUCGUUGUGAGUCACUGACUUUAUUUGAAGGUAUUUAAAAACUAUAAUCUUUAAGACCAACUAAUUCGUGUAAAGGCACACACAGUGGCUUACACAAUGCUCGAACUGAAGUGGAAAUGCAAAGAAACAAAGCUCAUCUUGAGUACAGUUCUAUUUCAGUCAUUCACUUUCAUGCUGGCUACCUAGGCUCCAUGAUUGGAUCUCCUUCUCUUCCAAUUUCCAAGUUAAAACUGUUUUUUGUUCUGUCUUUUGAAUUUCUUCUAGUUGACACACGUUUCCUACUGAGAUACAAAGAUGUUUUGAGCAAUUUGUUUUCACGGAUCAGAAUUUAAGUAACUUCCCUGGAAUGUUACAUGUCACUGAACCACAGUAUUCUGAAACCAGAAGUCUGUCAGGAGAGGCAAUGCUCUUAAGAACUUCAAAUGUGAUGAUUACAAUUGUGGCAGGUAUUUUCAGGCACAAGAGAACUUAUGUGAAGUCUUCAUUAUGUGUGUAGUCAUUUGUCUGUAGGCCUAGCUAUGGAGUCCUCAUUGCCAGGCUAGCACAAGGCAUCAGGAAGUCAGGAGAACUUAGCUCUGGAGUCAGAGUUCAGGCACAUCUUGAGACUGGGUCCCCUCUUUAACCUUCCUACAGAAGGACCGCUUUUACUCUCCUUCAGUACUUAGAAUCAAGGGAA